GACGAACGCUAGCUACAGGCUUAACACAUGCAAGUCGAGGGGUAACGAGAGGAAAGCUUGCUUUCCUUGUCGACGACCGGCGCACGGGUGAGUAACGCGUAUCCAACCUGCCCCCAACUAGGGAAUAACCUUGCGAAAGUAAGACUAAUACCCUAUAAUUUCCUCAGAUGUCAUCUGACGAGGAAUAAAGAUUUAUCGGUUGUGGAUGGGGAUGCGUCUGAUUAGCUUGUUGGCGGGGUAACGGCCCACCAAGGUAACGAUCAGUAGGGGUUCUGAGAGGAAGGUCCCCCACAUUGGAACUGAGACACGGUCCAAACGCCUACGGGAGGCAGCAGUGAGGGAUAUUGGUCAAUGGGCGGAAGCCUGAACCAGCCAAGUAGCGUGCAGGAUGACGGCCCUAUGGGUUGUAAACUGCUUUUAUACAGGAAUAAAGUUAGCCACGUGUGGUUAUUUGUAGGUACUGUAUGAAUAAGGACCGGCUAAUUCCGUGCCAGCCGCCGCGGUAA
rnacentral:rRNA from 1 species